UGCUCAAUGAUGAAUGAACUCCAAUGAUUGCCGUAUGAGACAAAAUGAGCAAAUUAUUUCACCGGCACUGAGAGCA